rnacentral:lncRNA from 1 species
UUUGUAGAAGAAUGUUAACAACCACCUGGUGCCACCCUGCUGGUUAAACAAACAGAGCAUUGGGGGAAAAAAGCACAAAAUCUAGUGGUGCUUGUUUAACUUCCAUUUCUUUUUCCCAUUGACAUUGAAGCCUCCCUGCAGUCAACUUUGCUUUUAGCAGACAGAUUACACCAUUGUCCUUGAUUCCAGGGUGCUUUAUCAUGCAAGGGUAAUAGUGCAAGUCCACUGCUCCAGCCUACCCAAAACAAGAUCAGAGGGAACCUGGGGAAUCUUCAUUGUUUGGUUUUGUGUAACAGUAUCUGGUGAAAACUUCUGUUCCAAGACAUGGAGAUACCCAGCCAAUAAAAAGAACUAAUCAAUUACCAACUAUAUCCUUAUGACAGGUAGAAG